CCUACGGGCGGCAGCAGUGGGGAAUAUUGCACAAUGGGGGAAACCCUGAUGCAGCGACGCCGCGUGAGGGAGGAAGUAUUUCGGUAUGUAAAGCUCUAUCAGCAGGGAAGAAAAUGACGGUACCUGACUAAGAAGCCCCGGCUAACUACGUGCCAGCAGGCGCGGUAAUACGGAGGGGGCAAGCGUUAUCCGGAUUUACGGGGGGUAAAGGGAGCGUAGACGGUUAAUCAAGUCCGAAGUGAAAACCCCGGGCCCAACCUUGGGACUGCUUUUGAAACUGAGUAGCUAGAGUGCAGGAGAGGUAAGCGGAAUUCCUAGUGUAGCGGUGAAAUGCGUAGAUAUUAGGAAGAACACCAGUGGCGAAGGCAGCUUACUGGACUGAAACUGACGUUGAGGCACGAAAGCGUGGGGAGCAAACAGGAUUAGAUACCCCUGUAGUC
rnacentral:rRNA from 1 species